UGUACUCUCCGAUCCAGGUCAAAUUAUACAGACCCAAAAUGGAAGGAAGGAAAAAGGAGUAUCCUCCCAUUUUAAAAAGAAAACCGUCGGCUACUUAGCUCUCUCUACACAGAACACCCAAAUUUACUCAAAAAAUGUAGCACUCAGUCUCAGACCAAAUCUCUUCACUCUCUCACCCUCUAUUUCUCUCACUAAAACAAUCAAAACAAAAUCCCUAAACAGAACCCGCCCAGAAGGUCGCGAAAUUGAGUACACAGUAGAAAAUCAGAAGUGUAUACCUUCAAGUUGAACAACAGAUAGUAUAUCAAACGAAACGAAUCGUGGUGAAUUUAUCUAUCUUGUGAGAAAGAACAUGGAAGGAUAAAUACCGUGGUGGCUUGAAAGAUGAACGAGGAAGAUUAACUCUGGCGUUAAUUUUUCAGAGAGUUAGGGUAGAGGAAUUAUAUAGCCGUGUGUUGAGAGUGACCAAUUUUUGGUGAUUUGGAAAGAUUUCUCUUGCAGAUUGGGGAUGAGUGAGGUUGAAAAUUUGGUAUAUUUCAUUGCUGUAUUUGACUGAAUUAAUUUUGGAAGGAGAUUUGCAGAUUAUGGAGUAACGCGUGAAAGAGGAAAAAUUAGAUUGUGAGGGAUCUUUGGGCUCAAGAAAAGAUUAGAUUUGGGAUAGAGAUAGUAUUUAAAUUAAGAAAAGAUUAUAUUUGGGAUAGAGAUGAUAGUAUUUAAAUUAAAAUUAGUUUGACCUCAACACCCCUUGUAAUUUAUUUAAAUUAAAUUGUGUAGCCAUAAUUUAUUUUC